GCCAAAAACAAAGUCUAGCGGGAAUCAGCAGAAUAAAGCAACACACAAUGCACAACAACAAGAUUCACACUAUGUAAAUAUGACUAUGAGUAGAACGGACACCCAGAUGGUUCACACCGCUCAACC